AUGUUCUCUGUGGGCUUUGAGCACAGUGAGGGAAGAAAGAUUAGUGUGUGUUCCGUCAGGAGGAAGAAGAGGCGUGUGUGUGUGUGUGUUCCGUCAGGAGGAAGAAGAGGCGUGUGUGUGUGUGUGUGUUCCGUCAGGAGGAAGAAGAGGCGUGUGUGUGUGUGUUUCCGUCAGGAGGAAAGAAGAGGCGUGUGUGUGUGUGUUCCGUCAGGAGGAAGAAGAGGCGUGUGUGUGUGUGUUCCGUCAGGAGGAAGAAAGGGCGUGUGUGUGUGUUCCGUCAGGAGAAGAAGAGGCUUGUGUGUGUGUUCCGUCAGGAGGAAGAAGAGGCGUGUGUGUGUGUGUGUUCGUCAGGAGGAAGAAAGGGCGUGUGUGUGUGUGUUCCGUCAGGAGGAAGAAGAGGCGUGUUGUGUGUGUGUGUGUUCCGUCAGGAGGAAGAAGAGGCGUGUGUGUGUGUUCCGUCAGGAGGAAGAAGAGGCGUGUGUGUGUUCCGUCAGGAGGAAGAAGAGGCGUGUGUGUGUUCCGUCAGGAGGAAGAAGAGGCGUGUGUGGUGUUGUUCCGUCAGGGAAGGAAGAGGCGUGUGUGUUGUGUUCCGUCAGGAGGAAGAAGAGGCGUGUGUGUGUGUGUUCGUCAGAGGAAGAGCGUGUGUGUGGUGUUGUGUCGUCGAGGAAGAAAGGCGUGUGUUGUGUGUGUGGUGUGUGUUCCGUCAGGAGGAAGAAGAGCGUUGGUGUGUGUGUGUGUGUUCCGUCAGGAGAGAAGAAGGCGUGUGUGGGUGGUGUGUGUGUUUCCGUCAGGAGGAAGAGAGGCGUGUGUGUGUGUGUGUUCCGCGGAGGAGAAGAGCGUGUGUGUGUGUGGUGUGUCCGUCAGGAGGAAGAAGAGGCGUGGUGUGUGUGUGUGUGUUCCGUCAGGAGGAAGAAAGCGGUGGUGGUGUGUGGGUGUCCGUCAGGAGGAAGAAGAGGCGGUGUGUGUGUGUGUGUUCCGUCAGGAGGAAGAAGAGGCGUGUGUGUGUGUGUGUUCCGUCAGGAGAAGAAGAGGCGUGUGUGUGUGUGUGUUCGUCAGGAGGAAGAAGAGGCGUUGUGGUUGUUGUUUCCGUCAGAGGAAGAAGAGGCGUGGUGUGUGUGUGUUCGUCAGGAGGAAGAAGAGGCGUGUGUGUGUGUGUGUGGUUUCCGUCAGGAGGAAGAAGAGGCGUGUGUGUGUGUGUGUGUGUGUUCCGUCAGGAAAGAAGAAGGCGUGUGUGUGUGUGUGUGUGUGUGUGUUCCUUCGAGGAAGAAGAGGCGUGGUUUGUGUUUGUGUUCCGUCAGGAGGAAGAAGAGGCGUGGUGUGUUUGUGUGUGUUCCGUCAGGAGAAGAAGAGGCGUGUGUGUGUGUGUGUGUGUGUUCCGUCAGGAGGAAAAGAGGCGUGUGUGUGUGUGUUCCUCAGGAGGAAGAAGAUGUGUGUGUGUGUGUGUGUGUCCGUCAGGAGGAAGAAGAGGUGUGUGUGUGUGUGUGUUCCGUCAGGAGGAAGAAGAGGCGUGUGUGGUGUGUGUGUUGUGUGUUCCGUCAGGAGGAAGAAGAGGCUGUGUGUGUGUGUGGUGUGUUCCGUCAGGAGGAAGAAGAGGCGUGUGUGUGUGUGUGUGUGUGUUCCGUCAGGAGAAGAGAGGCGUGUGUGUGUGUGUGUGUGUGUGUUCCGUCAGGAGGAAGAAAGGCGUGUUGGUGUGUGUGUGUGUGUUCCGUCAGGAGGAAAGAAGAGGCGUGUGUGUGUGUGUUCCGUCAGGAGGAAGAAGAGGCGGUGUGUGUGUGUGUGUUCCGUCAGGAGGAAGAAAGAGGCGUGUGUGUGUGUGUGUUCCGUCAGAGGAAGAAGGCGUGUGGUGUGUGUGUGUGUUCCGUCAGGAGGAAGAAAGAGGCGUGUGGUGGUGUGUGUGUUCCGUCAGGGAGGAAGAAGAGGCGUGUGUGUGUGUGGUGUGUCCGUCAGGAGGAAGAAAGGCGUGUGUGUGUGUGUGUGUGUGUUUCUCAGGAGGAAGAAGAGGCGUGUGUGUGUGGUGGUUGUUCCGUCAGGAGGAAGAAGAGGGUGUGGUGUGGGUGUUUGUUUCGUCAGGAGGAAGAAGAGGCGUGUGUGGGUGGUGUGUGUGUGUUCCGUCAGGAGAAGAAGAGGCGUGGUGUGUGUGUGUGUGUGUGUUCCGUCAGGAGGAAGAAGAGGCGUGUGUGGUGUGUGUGUGUGUCCGUCAGGAGAAGAAGAGGCGGGUGUGUGGUGUGUGUGUGUUCCGUCAGGAGGAGAGAAGAGGGGUGUGUGUGUGUGUGGUGUUGUUCCGUCAGGAGGAAGAAGAGGCGUGUGUGUGUGUGUGUGUGGUGUGUGUGUGUUCCGUCAGGAGGAAGAAGAGCGUGUGUGUGUGGUGUGUCCGUCAGGAGGAGAAGAGCGGGUGUGUGUGUGGUGUGUCCGUCAGGAGGAAGAAGAGGCGUGUGUGUGUGUGUGGUUGUUCCGUCAGGAGGAAGAAGAGGCGUGUGUGUGUGUUGUGUGUUCCGUCAGGAGGAAGAAGAGGCGUGUGUGUGUGUGUGUGUUCCGUCAGGAGGAAGAAGAGGCGUGUGUGUGUGUGUGUGUGUUCCGUCAGGAGGAAGAAGAGGCGUGUGUGUGUGUGUGUGUUCCGUCAGGAGGAAGAAGAGGCGUGUGUGUGUGUGUGUUCCGUCAGGAGGAAGAAAGGCGUGUGUGUGUGGUGUGUUCCGUCAGGAGGAAGAAGAGGCGUGUUGUGUGUGUGUUCCGUCAGGAGGAAGAAGAGGCGUGUGUGGUGUGUGUGUGUGUUGUUCCGUCAGGAGAAGAAGAGGCUGUUGUGUGUGGUGUGUGUGUUCCGUCAGGAGGAAGAAGAGGCGUGUGGUGUGUUGUGUGGUUCCGUCAGGAGAAGAAGAGGCGUGUGUGUGUGUGUGUGUGUGUUCCGUCAGGAGGAAGAAGAGCGUGUGUGUGUGUGUGUGUGUGUGUGUUCCGUCAGGAGGAAGAAGAGGCGUGUGUGUGUGUGUGUGUGUGUUCCGUCAGGAGGAAGAAGAGGCGUGUGUGUGUGUGUGUGUGUGUGUUCCGUCAGGAGGAAGAAGAGCGUGUGUGUGGUGUGUGUGUGUGUUCCGUCAGGAGAAGAAGAGGCGUGUGUGUGUGUGUGUGUGUGUUCCGUCAGGAGGAAGAAGAGCGUGUGUGGUGGGUGUGUGUGUUCCGUCAGGAGGAAGAAGAGCGUUGUGUGUGUGUGUGUUCCGUCAGGAGGAAGAGAGGCUGUGUGUGGUUGUGUGUUCCGUCAGGAGGAAGAAGAGGCGUGUGUUGUGUGUGGGUGUUCCGUCAGGAGGAAGAGAGCGUGUGUGUGUGUGUGUGUUCCGUCAGGAGGAAGAAGAGGCGUGUGGUGUGUGUGUGUGUUUCCGUCAGGAGGAAGAAGAGGCGUGUGUGUUCCAUCAGGAGGAUUGUGUGUGUGUGUGUGUUCCAUCAGGAGGAGUGUGUGUGUGUUCCGUCAGGAGGAAGAAGAGGUGUGUGGUGUUCCGUCAGGAGGAAGAGAUGCUCCUCUGCAGCAGUAGGGAGUGGCAGAUGUCACAGACUCGUACAGGUCGAGGGUAGGAGGAGCAGGCCAACUCGUUAGUAGAACAACUGUUACAGUAGAUAUCUCCACAGUUCUACAGUGGUGCUGCAGACAAACAGACAGGAAAAACAGGGACAUUUAGUAGAACUGUAUUUGUUACACACACACACACACAGCAUUUCAUACAAAGGCCUUUCUAAACAUCGCCACAGACAAGAGUCCACAACGAAGAGAUGGAUGGACAGAGCCUUACCUUUCUGCGAGCGAUGGAGAAACUCCUUCUGGCAUUGUUUACACUGUGUAGCCUCAUCAUCUUUCAGCCAGGCUUGGCCCUGAUGGACACAGACAGACAACAAUGCUCAAUCACGAAUGAUUACAGAAAUGAGUGUGUGUCUGUGCUGUGAAGGUGGGGGUCAUGGGGUCGUUCAGGUACAAGGAGAAUUCUAAGACCAGCGAUGAGUGCCGAUGUCUCGUCUGUUCUUCACCGUAGAGACUGGUGUAACGGUGGCUAGGGGAAGUGUUCAUGUAGGACAGGGAAACCUUACCUUCAGGGCUUUGUUGACCUCUUUGAAGUCCUCCACUUCAGUUUAGACCUACCCAGAGAGAUGAGUCACACAAAGUAAAAACAGAUGGAAACACAGGAAGGAAGAAG
ensembl:lncRNA